rnacentral:ncRNA from 1 species
AAUAAACCAUUGAAGAAGAGAUCAAACGAAAAGAUGUAUCUAAAGCGAGUUCGGAAUGGUGGAAGCCGAAUGAUGUCAGUUUCGCAAAUGGACUUCGGAGGGCAAAGUGAACUAGAGUAGCUAAGCCGUACUCAUGCGUUAAAUGAGAAGGGGAUAUCUUAUAAAGAUAUCAAUUCAGGUGGUACCGCAGAUUUUAUUUGUCCUGUAU